AACUGGGGAAAGCCUGAGUGUGAGGAGGGAUUAAUUGGAGAGUUGGGGUGCCAGCUCCCCCCACACCUGAGACCCACCUGGUCAUUGCUGGGAUGUCCAGUCCUGAUGCUCAGCUGCUGGAUCCUGCGGCCUAGGGAACAGAAAGCCCAAGGCACUGGAGAGGUCGCCCUUCCAGCAGAACAAGGAACAAACUAUGUGGUCCUGAGUCCACAGGAGACCCUCAGACUGGACUCUAGACUUGAGCGGCCAGUUGGCUCUAAGUAAUCCUGAACAGGCUCUGAGGGCAUCAGUGUCAGUCAGAGGACACUAAGGGGACAAACAGGCCACGCAAUGCUUAACUUAGCCACUGAGCCAUGUGUUCAGCCCCAGCUUCUCACCCACUACUGUCUUCAACCUGCAGAUGGACACAGCUAUGCCCCAGAGGGCUCCGUGCAUGCUUCUGCAGGGCGUAAGACUCAGCCUCCUAACUGCCCACGGGAACUGCAUGGUGAGAAAACCAUCUAUCCUGAAACUCAGCGACAUCUGAUAAACAACCCAGCUUCCUGAUCCCCUAAGAACACUGGGUAAUCAAGAACAAACUAGAUCAGGAGAAAGGAGGAAGCAGCCAGGCCUGACCCAGUGACCAGAACCCUGCGACCUGCUUAUAGGCCAAGGGUCUUUUCCUGCCUUGAGUGGGCAGGAUAUCCAGAGAGACCAGAUGUCAUAACUAACCAGCUGAGAACACACUGGCUAAGACAAGGAACCGGUCAUACAGGGUUGGCCCUAAGCCUGGCGUUGGUCCAGAUGGGGCAACCCAGAUGCUGCCGACAAGGAGACCAACAGCCCCAAGCACACCACCUCAAGCUUUCUCAAAGGCUCUACUCUGCUCAGGGACCCAUCAGAUUAACUGUUCAGACAGGUGAACACCUCAAUGGUAUCAAGCCAACUCCCAUGAGAGCUCUAGAGCCCUGCACCCCUCCCCAAACCUGGCUUCCAGCCCUUACUCCCUCUCCAUCUUUGCCAAAGCUGCCAGCGCAGGACAUCAGAGCACAAGGAAGGCCUCUGAGGUGUGAUGAUGGCAGUGAUACAAGAUGGGACGCUCCGGUUACAGGCCAGGCCAGGCCAGGCCAAGGCAGUGCUCAGGGGCCAACGCCUACCUUAGCUUCCAGGGCCCAGGCUGCCUUCUGCCCUUGCAGACACCCUUUUCUGCUUGGUGGUACCGCUCCCUAGGCCACGGUUCUCUGGUGCCUCUCCUCCCCACGCAGCUCAGACUCUCGUAGGCACAUCCUCUAAUGGCCUCCUGGCUUGCACAUACAACACCAUGCCCUCUGCCUGGGUGCUCCUGCUGGCACCAGCCCAGCUGGCAGCAGGGUUUGUUUGGUGAGGCAGAGAGAAACCUGAGUGUGUUUACUGGCAAGGAAUGAAGUAGCAUGAUACCAGAUGAACAGGGUCCCUAAAAUGGCUGAGUGUGUUGGGGUCUAGGACCAAAGCAGCAACAAUAGGCUAACAAAAAUGGCAGUCUGCACAAGUGCCAAGGAUGUAAAAAACAAAACACACACACACACACACACCCCUGCCAGAUUGCAGACAGGCACCUGCAGACCACUGUUCAGCAGCCCAGGUAAAAAGGGGGUAGUGUCUAACAAAGGCUACCACAGAAGGGGACACCAUUUCCAGUGAGUAGCCAGGGAGAGAGCCGUACGUCAAAAGAAUUCAUCAGUGCCCAGGCCUUUAUCAUUUGGAGCUCCCACCAGGACAAGAGCAGGAGCAGAGGUCAGGCAAGGCCACCUCAAGCUCCCAAUACUUCCUUGCCCUGCUUUUUUCUCAGUUACAAGUGUGUCCUCCAUUCCCUAGCCAUAUGAAACAUGUUACAUCAACUCCACAAUGCUUUUUGGGUCUUCCUGUUGUUUGUGUUUAAAGACAGAAAGCCCAGGCCAGCCUCAAAAAUCAUGUAUAGUCAAGGCCAGCCAUGGACUCCUGAUCCUCCUGUCUUUAGGCCCCUUAGUGCUGACAUUGCAGGCAUGCACUGCCCGGCACAACUCCACAAUCUCUUUCCUCUGUACCUUGGAAACCAGGUGUCGCUGGGCAAAUACCCCACCUCAAGCCGGCCAGGCUGCCCUGAGCUUGAUGAGGCAGGCCUUGGACUUGCAACCCUCUGGCAUCGGCCUCCCAGCAGCCAGCCUCUCCACAGCUGCCUUUUAAAAAUCUAACAGAAGCACCUGCCCAGUCCUCCUGGCCAGAGUUCCUCCACCCCUCUGUGGCCUCCAGACAAGGGCUUUGGUUCCUCACUGAAAGGGAAGUGGCCACCAGGGACAAUUACCAGGUCCUCCUGCUCCAACGAACACUGACGCACAGCCAGGGGAAGCCCUACCUCAAAUGCGGAACCUGCACCUCUCCAGCCAACACCAUGAUGGACAUGACAAGGCCACGCCGCUUAUCCCAGUAAAGACUGGUAACCAGAGGGGCCUACAGACCACCGAGGAUGAGGCAGGAAACGCAGGACUCAGCUCAUGCUUAAAUGAGGCGGAGAACCAUGCAGGCCACAGCAGACCCUUGCCAAGGGAGGCCGAUGGGGCAACCCCUGCGCUGGGAACUCUACACGCCAUUCAUGCCCCUGUCGCAGCUGGCCAGAAAGAAGGCAUCUCACAAUCCAUGUCAGAGGAUGAAGCAGCUAUCACCUAAGAGGGGACUCCCGGCCUCCACACAACCCAGGGUCUUCCUGGCUGCAGCGGCUGGCGGGAGUGCUAGCUGCUCAUUGCCCCCGAGCUUGCUCAGUUCCUAGCCGCUCUGAAAUGCUGCUUCCCAGGGGCAUCCAGUGGGUCUGCUCCGCCCUCCAUUCCUGGGAGAGUUUUUACUGAACGGGCUUACUCUGUGUAGAACCAUCCGCUUCUAAGGGAACUGAGGCCUUCAGAGCCUCCCUGGAAGGGGGAGGAGGGGAGACAGUACGGGGUGCAGGAGAUCCAGAACCAAUUCUGCUCUUCUAAAUACAUCCAACACACCCGG